GGACUACUCCCUCCGUCCGAAAAUACUUGUCAUCAAAAUAGAUAAAAAGGGGUGUAUCUAGAACUAAAAUACAUCUAGAUACAUCCCCUUUUAUUCAUUUUGAUGACAAGUAUUUCCAUACGGAGGGAGUACCUC
rnacentral:pre_miRNA from 1 species